rnacentral:lncRNA from 1 species
CCCACACAGCCCUCAGUCCUAAAGGCUGGUCUCACUCCCAUCCUGCCACGCAACAGCACAGGGUCUAUUUCGAGACAGCCAGUGACCAGGGCUGAGAACUUGCCCCAGACCACCAGCCUCCUCACUGAGAAAGCAAGCAGAAUCACAGUUUUUUGGAAUCUCAGGGAGCCUUCAGCGGCAAUCCAGUUCCUUCAAAGGGUCUGUGGAUUCUCUCAGUUUUCAUGAAGCUGGCAUGUAAUUCUCGUUAACUCCAUGAGCAGAGUUUCAAUACUGCCCUGACCAAUGGGCAAAGAUGAUUCCCAGGGGUGUCAGCUGUGACCCUCGAAGGAAAGGGAUCACCCUCUUUCUGACCCUAUACCACCUUCAGCAGGGAUGAAGGCAGUCAGAGAAAACUUAGUUAAAAAAUUUCUAAACUGCUUUGCUGAUUUGAUCUGGGGCCCUGGAGUGCCAACAUCCUGUGAUAGCGGCUGAUUGUUGAUGCCUGGGAGGAUACAGCAGUGACGAUCCAAAUUUACAAGACUCAACAUGGUUUUCAAAACUUCCUUUUAAAAAAGAUGUUCCUGAGUUCUGGAAUCUGAACAAAAUAUGUCUGGUUAUUAUAUAAUUCUAAUGGUCCUUGUGGAUGCUACCAUUAGAGUUCAGUUAGUGUCUCAUCUAUCACUGUAAUAUUUGUAUUGUAACACUAAUCGUGGCAAAGUAUGAUUUGAUAAAUGCUCAUUCUCAAA